GAAAUGUUGGGUUAAGUCCCGCAACGAGCGCAACCCUUAUCCUUUGUUGCCAGCGGUUCGGCCGGGAACUCAAAGGAGACUGCCAGUGAUAAACUGGAGGAAGGUGGGGAUGACGUCAAGUCAUCAUGGCCCUUACGAGUAGGGCUACACACGUGCUACAAUGGCAUAUACAAAGAGAAGCGACCUCGCGAGAGCAAGCGGACCUCAUAAAGUAUGUCGUAGUCCGGAUUGGAGUCUGCAACUCGACUCCAUGAAGUCGGAAUCGCUAGUAAUCGUAGAUCAGAAUGCUACGGUGAAUACGUUCCCGGGUCUUGUACACACCG
rnacentral:rRNA from 1 species